CCGCCCUCACCUGAGCCGAAGGUUGGCCAUGAACUCGGGCAUGGAGACGGUGUCCAUCAGCACGAAGUCCGCCUUGCCGAACUCCAGGCUCUCCUGCUCCGCCAUGGCGCCGGCGCACGGGCUCAGGAAAUCUAGAAGCCCCCGACGACCUGGCUGGGCUCCAACUCUGUGGCUGCAUUUGAGAUGAGUAAACCAGACCGAAGGACCCUGCUAAAGGCCUGCUUCAGCUGCCAACCACCCACCCUGGCCAAGACAGAAGGGAAGACAGCUUGGUCCCCUCCCGAGGGAGCACACUGCCAUCAGAAAGCCACUCAAUCUCCCACACAGGCAGAGCUGGGUUGCAGUCUGUCCGUUAACAGCUCUCCUUCUCCAGAAGACACCACUCUGGAUCUCAGUGUCUCCUUUGUGGAAUAAGACCUCGACACUCUCCAGGACCCACCCAGACUUCAGUGGGUACUCCUGGAUCUUGGAUGCCCUGGGCUCUCUGGAGGAUUGGCGGCUGGAACGGGUUAGCCUGGAGGCGGUUAGGCUGUCCUUCUACAACCACAGGAGAGCCGUCACCAGCCGAGAGAUCCUUGAAGCAGUCAAGCAGAGAUCCUCUCGGAAGAGCUUUUGAGUAAAUGAAGUAGUUCUGAAUGGCCCUGUUCUUGAAAUGAUUGCACUUGUCAAAAACAAAAGUUGGAUAUCAGAAGGCUGAGUUGGAAGAACAAGGCAUCUGAGAUGUACCUGCUGCACCAGGAGUCCUGGUGCCCCACACCUGCUCUCUGGGUCCUGUGGUUUUAGCCUCUGAAUUAAUUUUGUGAAAAAAAGAAUAAAGUCAUUUUCUAUUGA